GGACAACGAACCUUGGGUGAUCUACGUACAUCACUUCGAGCUACAUAAGUCGUGCAACAUCAGUCGCUCUCUGAGGCGUGGAACCGGCUCUGCAAUGGCGGGGCCGUUCACGACUUUGCUGUAUUUCAUGCAGGUGUAUGCAUGAAGUGAUUUUCGACAGCUUUGUCACCGCAUCGAGUUUGACGGCGACUGCGCGGAUAUUCGGAAGGUGCGGUCUUCUGGACAACGAACCUUGGGCGAUCUACGUACAUUACUUCGAGCUACAUAAGUCGUGCAACAUCAGUCGCUCUCUGGGGCGUGGAACCGGCUCUGCGAUGGCGGGGGCGUUCACGACUUUGCUGUAUUUCAUGCAGGUGUAUGCAGGAAGUGAUUUUCGACAGCUUUGUCUCCGC